rnacentral:rRNA from 1 species
UGCAAGUCGAGGGGUAUAGUUCUUCGGAGCUAGAGACCGGCGCACGGGUGCGUAACGCGUAUGCAAUCUACCUUUUACAGAGGGAUAGCCCAGAGAAAUUUGGAUUAAUACCUCAUAGUAUGUGAGAAUCGCAUGGUUUUCACAUUAAAGUCACAACGGUAAAAGAUGAGCAUGCGUCCCAUUAGCUUGUUGGUAAGGUAACGGCUUACCAAGGCAACGAUGGGUAGGGGUCCUGAGAGGGAGAUCCCCCACACUGGUACUGAGACACGGACCAGACUCCUACGGGAGGCAGCAGUGAGGAAUAUUGGACAAUGGGCGCAAGCCUGAUCCAGCCAUGCCGCGUGCAGGAUGACGGUCCUAUGGAUUGUAAACUGCUUUUGUACAGGAAGAAACACUCCCUCGUGAGGGAGCUUGACGGUACUGUAAGAAUAAGGAUCGGCUAACUCCGUGCCAGCAGCCGCGGUAAUACGGAGGAUCCAAGCGUUAUCCGGAAUCAUUGGGUUUAAAGGGUCCGUAGGCGGUUUAAUAAGUCAGUGGUGAAAGCCCAUCGCUCAACGGUGGAACGGCCAUUGAUACUGUUAAACUUGAAUUAUUAGGAAGUAACUAGAAUAUGUAGUGUAGCGGUGAAAUGCUUAGAGAUUACAUGGAAUACCAAUUGCGAAGGCAGGUUACUACUAAUGGAUUGACGCUGAUGGACGAAAGCGUGGGUAGCGAACAGGAUUAGAUACCCUGGUAGUCCACGCCGUANACGAUGGAUACUAGCUGUUGGGAGCAAUCUCAGUGGCUAAGCGAAAGUGAUAAGUAUCCCACCUGGGGAGUACGUUCGCAAGAAUGAAACUCAAAGGAAUUGACGGGGGCCCGCACAAGCGGUGGAGCAUGUGGUUUAAUUCGAUGAUACGCGAGGAACCUUACCCAGGCUUAAAUGUAGUUUGACCGAUUUGGAAACAGAUCUUUCGCAAAGACAAUUACAAGGUGCUGCAUGGUUGU